AGGGAAUCUUCCGCAAUGGACGAAAGUCUAACGGAGCAACGCCGCGUGAGCGAUGAAGGCCUUCGGGUCGUAAAGCUCUGUUGUCAGGGAAGAACAAGUACAAGAGUAACUGCUUGUACCUUGACGGUACCUGACCAGAAAGCCCCGGCUAACUACGUGCCAGCAGCCGCGGUAAUACGUAGGGGGCAAGCGUUGUCCGGAAUUAUUGGGCGUAAAGGGCGCGUAGGCGGUUUCUUAAGUCUGAUGUGAAAGCCCACAGCUUAACUGUGGAGGGUCAUUGGAAACUGGGGAACUUGAGUGCAGAAGAGGAGAGUGGAAUUCCACGUGUAGCGGUGAAAUGCGUAGAUAUGUGGAGGAACACCAGUGGCGAAGGCGACUCUCUGGUCUGUAACUGACGCUGAGGCGCGAAAGCGUGGGGAGCAAAC
rnacentral:rRNA from 1 species